rnacentral:misc_RNA from 1 species
UGAUUAGUGAUUAGUUCAAUGUUGCGACUCCCAACAACCAAUGAACUUUAAACAUGGAAAUCAAAACAAACAAGGAUUUUAUUCCAGCUGAAUAGACUUUCAACUCCAGUGUUACUCCAUAACAUGAUGUAGUUUGGAUUAAUAAAACCGAUUCAUUCCUUUGUGUUCCAUUUCAAAUAUGAUUUUGUUUGUUUAUAGCCAGAAUAGCUUAAUCCUAUAAAAAGAGGAUUGUCUAUUUCCCCAAUUAAGUUACAUAUAUAGGGUGCAAAUGAUUGCUAAAGUGCUCUGCCUCUUAUUUUAGCCAAGACAGUGAUGCUUUGCAUGAAGCUAGUAGUCGGUCAUUCAUCUGUUCUAUGGGGCUCUGCUGGGACAGAUCUAUAAGUAUGAAAAAGGGUGGUUGCUCACUUGCUUCCUUUGUUACUUUUUUUCUUUUUUUCUCUCUUUUCCCCUCCUGGAUUCCUCUAUUCCCUGUAUCAUCCAUCUUGCAGUGGAACUCUUCCCUCUAGCCCCUGCUCGUCUUUCUAUUCUACUUAUCUUUUCUCUUCAUUUUCCCAGAUAUUCUGAGAGCUGAGGGCUAUUUUUCCUGAACAGCUGCUAGGCUCCUAUCAGAAGACUAAUUAUACACUUCUUUAGAACCCCCUAAACUGCAGAUCAUAAGGUCAAACCUCAAGAACCUAUGCUUGUGUUAACAUACUAAAUUGCUUAUGCCUAUUAUGCUAUCAAUUUUGAUGCUAUAUUUACUGAUUUUGCUUUAAUGGUUUAAAUUACCAAGCCUGAACCACCAGUUCAUUGUGCAGAAGGACUUGGCUUGCUUAUUGUUGACAGCUCUAGGUUUAUUAUUCUAGACUCUUAAACUCAAUUUAAUUUGAUAACCCUGGGGCUGCAUUACCCAAAGACCCAACUUUAAGGUCUAUACUUACUCCCAAACCAACUAAAGAAGUAGUUUUAACCUCAUACACAACACUACAAAAUCUACUGCAGAAGGGUCAGAGGGAUUAAAAAUUAAAAGGCAACAACUUGCCACUAAAGGAUGAAAGUAAUCAUAUGUGCCUUGCCCUUUGCACUUUCUUCUACUACUCAAGAAUAAGCUAAAAUAAAUGAAGAAGAUACAACCAGACUUCAUGAAUGUAUCUGCUAAUGAUAUUAAGAUAGGUCAAACAUAUAGCUACUUAGCCAGGUAAUAUUGAAGUAUUUGACAGAUGCCACAUAUGUACAUCGGCAUAAUUUUUGUUGCACUUGUUAUAUUCUACAAGUUCAUACGACUAAAAUUCCCCCACUGCCUCAGAAAUGCAAUUCAAUCCUUCAAAGUAAUUUGAUAGAUA